rnacentral:rRNA from 1 species
AACGAACGCUGGCUGCAGGCUUAACACAUGCAAGUCGAACGCCCCGCAAGGGGAGUGGCAGACGGGCGAGUAACACGUGGGAACAUGCCCAAAGGUACGGAAUAUUCUCGGGAAACUGGGAGCAAUACCGUAUGUGGCCGAAAGGGGAAAGAUUUAUCGCCUUUGGAUUGGCCCGCGUCCGAUUAGGUAGUUGGUGGGGUAAUGGCCUACCAAGCCGACGAUCUGGAGCUGGUCUGAGAGGACGACCCGCCACACUGGGACUGAGACACGGCCCAGUCUCCUACGGGAGGCAGCAGUGGGGAAUCUUGGACAAUGGGCGCAAGCCUGAUCCAGCCAUGCCGCGUGGAUGAUGAAGGCCCUAGGGUUGUAAAAUCCUUUCGUUGGGGACGAUAACGACGGUACCCACAGAAGAAGCCCCGGCUAACUCCGUGCCAGCAGCCGCAGUAAUAC